rnacentral:misc_RNA from 1 species
GGAAGGAUCAUUCGAGAUAUCUUGCAUUAGCAAAAACUUUUUAUGCAAACUGUUAAACGCCGAUUGACGCUUAAUUGCUGUCAAUCGAUUUUAUUUACAUUAACUUUACAUACCAGUAAUUAUUAUAUUUUUACAACUUUUAGCAAUGGAUCUCUAGGCUCUCGUAUCGAUGAAGAACGCAGCAAACUGCGAAACGUAGUGUGAAUUGCAGACCGUGAAUCAUCGAAUCUUUGAACGCACUUUGCACUGUCUGGAAACCUGGACAGUAUAUCUGUUUGAGUAUAGUAACUUUCUCACAAUAAAAAGUAUGGUAAACAUAUAAUAAAAUGUGGAAUUGAAGUAUUGUAAAUUAAUUUUUGCACACUUUUUAAUAUAUAUUUUCUUUGGUGAUUGUAGUCCGAAAGGGUUCUUUCUUCAUGUUAAAUAAAAUUUUAAUAAGGCUGUGUGCCUUGAAAAACUUUCCCAAAUCAGAUAAGACUACCCGCUGAACUUAAGCAUAUUAAUAAGCGGAGGAAAAGAAACUAACAAGGAUUCCUUCAGUAACGGCGAGUGAAGAAGGAUCAGCUCAAAUUUGAAAUCUCUUUGGAGAAUUGUAAUUUGUAAAAGUACUCUCGUCAACACUCUGGGCCAAAGUUCUUUGGGACAAGGCAUCAUAGAGGGUGAAAAUCCCGUAUAUGGACCAGUUGUAUUGUAGUAGAUUGUAUUUUCAAGAGUCGGGUUGUUUGGGACUGCAGCCCUAAUUUGGUGGUAUAUUCCAUCUAAAGCUAAAUAUAGACGAGAGACCGAUAGCGAACAAGUACUGUGAAGGAAAGAUGAAAAGAACUUUGAAAAGAGAGUUAAAUAGUACGUGAAAUUGUUAAAAGGGAAACGUUUACAACUAGUGUUUACGCGUGAAGUUCAACUAUUCGAUUCGAGUAGUAUAGGCUUGGCGCGUGUAGUCAAUGGUUUGCGAUCGGGUAGCAAAUACGGAAAGAAAUGUAACUCUUUGAGUAUUAUAUUCUUUUCCGCAUACUACAAGAUUGCUUGAUCAUUGUCAAAAUAGUUUUAAACGACCCGUCUUGAAACACGGACCAAGGAGUCUAACAAUUAUGCGAGUGUUUGAGUGUCAAACUCAAUUGCGGAAUGAAAGUGAUUGUAGGUGGGAUCUUUGCACCAUCGACCGAUCUUGAUUUUUUAUGAUAGAUUUGAGUAAGAGCAUAACUGUUGGGACCCGAAAGAUGGUGAACUAUACCUGAAUAGGGUGAAGCCAGAGGAAACUCUGGUGGAAGCUCGUAGCGAUUCUGACGUGCAAAUCGAUCGUCAAAUUUGGGUAUAGGGGCGAAAGACUAAUCGAACCAUCUAGUAGCUGGUUUCCUC